AACGAACGCUGGCGGCAUGCCUAACACAUGCAAGUCGAACGAAACCUUCGGGUCUUGUGGCGCACGGCUGCGUACCGCGUGGGAACCUGCCCUUAGGUUACGAAUCACUCACCGAAAGGUGUGCUAAUAACGGUUAAUGUCUUCGGACCAAAGAUGUACUGCUUGUGGAUGGGGGCUCGUUGGAUUAGCUAGUUGGUAGUGUAAUAGCCUACUAUCGCGACGAUGCUUAGCUGGUCUGAGAGGAUGAUUAGGCCGGAUGGGACUGAGACACGGCCCAGACUGCGACGGGAGGGAGCAGUAGGGAAUAUUAGACGAUGGGCGAAAACCUGAUCCAGCAGUGCCGCGGGUGUGGGGAAGGGCGUAGGGUUGUAAAGCUCUUUGACCCGAGAUGAUAAUGACAGUACCGGGUGAAGAAGCACCGGCUAACUCCGUG
rnacentral:rRNA from 1 species